CUCCCUCUUCCUGCCCACCCUCCUCAGAGAAUGCCAAGUCUGCAGGUUUCCACGACCUUGAGCAGCCAGCAGGUUGGAGCAGGAGCGCAGAGCUUUGCAAGGAGGUCUUGGGCAGGGCCUCUCUCGCCGGCUGGGGUUGCUCUGCCUUGGCGCUUGCUUUCUGCCCACACCCAAUACUGUUGCCCUGCUUUAUUUUUCUCUAUGGCACUUCUCAUCUUCUGACAAUUUACUUUACUUAUGUGUAUUUUCUUUUCUCCUCUCCCCCCAUUAGGUCAGUUCCAUGAGGGCAGGGAUUUCUAUCUGCGGUGGCCACUGUUCCAUCCCCAAAGCCUGGAACAGUGCCUGGCACACAGUAGGUGCCCAGGGAGAACUGAUGAACGAAGUGCUCUGGACAGCCCCCAUUCACUGCAUACUUACUCCUGCACCAGCUAACUGCCUCGAUCAACAGCCCUGGGUGCCGAGGAGUAUGCCAGUUCCCUUGGGGAAGAUCGGGAAACCGAAGCCCAGAAAGGAAGAACCCAAGGCAAAGGACCAGCCCAAGGUCACGCGGUCGAGUAGUGGAGCCGGGACCAAGCCCAAGCUUCCGAGCCGCGGCGCCUGCGCGCUGAGCCCUUCCUCCCACCACCCAGAGGCACGAUGGAUAUUAAACAAAUCAUCACGUACCUGUACCUGCAGCCAGUUCAGGGGACUGAGAAGGCAUGAUGGGGAUGGGGUGUCGACAACCGGAGGAGGCUUCCCAGAGCAGGUGAGACUGGAACUGAAACUCAAUGUGGGGAAACAGAUGUGGCUCAACCAAUUGGGCUCCCGUCUACCAUAUAGGAGGUCCAGGGUUCGAUGCCCAGUGCCUCCCGGUGAGGGGAAGCUGGCCCACAUGGAGGAGUUUCGCCGCUGUGGCCCCAUGCAGUAGUGCCGCCCUGCAUGGAAAUGCCACCCCGUGCGGAAAAGCCGCCCUGCGCAGGAGUGCCACACAAUGCUGAGAGCUGGUGCAGCAAGAUGACGCAACAAGAGACACAGGAGAGAAAAUAAGAAGACGUAGAAGAUGCAGAACAGGGAGAUGAGGUGGCACAAGAGAGUAAUCGCCUCUUUCCCACUCCGGAAGGUCCGAGGAUCAGUUCCCAGAGCCGCCUAAUGAGGAAAGAAGCAGACACAGAAGAACACACAGCGAAUGGACACAGAGAGCAGACAAUGGGGGGAACAGGGUGGGGUGAGAGGGAAUAAAAAUAAAUCUUAAAAAAAAGAAUGUUCAUUAAAAAAAAGAAAAGAAAAGAAACUCGGUGUGGAGUAGGAGGGAGCAAAGGCAUGAGCCAAAAGCUGGAGUCCAAAGGAACUGGAAUGUUAGAGUCUGAAAAGCCCUGUGUGCUGGAGAAGGCUAGAGAGUGGCAGGCGAGGAGGGCAAGGUCAAGAUCAGCAGGGCCAGGCCCCAGUGGCCUUGAGGGUUGUGAAGGAGGAGGCCCUCCUGAGGGCAGGGAGAGCACAAAGGGUUUUGAGCAGGAGAGUCAGCCUCAAGCCUGUGUCCUCCCAUUGGCCCCAUUGACCCCAAUGGUGUGUGGACAUCCUGGGCUGGAGUCCUGGCUCUGUUCUCGGCCUCUCUGAGCCUCGGUUUCUUCAUCUGUAAGAUAGAGAUAAUGAUCUUUACAGCUGUAGGGAAUGUGGGCUUCGGAGCCAGAAGGCCCUGGAUUCAAGCCUGCCCUUACAAAACAUGGGGCCUUGGGCAGUAUUCAACAAAGACUCAACCAGGCAGGCCGGUGCAGAACCUGGGGUGUCGUUCUCCACCCCCCUGCAGCCUUCCUGGCUCCCUGCCCGGGUCUCCAGAGCGGGGCCUCGGGACCCAGACUAAGUUCCCUUCCAUGGCAGGGGAGGUGGCAGGGACCCUGGCCCGAUGUCGAGGAGAGGCAGGGCCAGAGGGCUGGAAGCUGCCCCUGGGACCCCGGGCCCCUGCCUCCUCCCCCCGGGAGCUCCAGGCUCCCUGGCUAAUGUGGGGAGCUAAGGGUGGCAUAGCGGGAAGGGGCCCAGAGCCCAGGGGGCAGAGCGUCCCCUAGCUGGUGGCAAGGGUAAAUAGAAAGCUACAGGGGCGGAGCGGGUGCAGGCAGACUGAGGCUGCUUUGUCUUCUGUCAGCCAGCUCACCCGGCUCUGGGGAACAGGUUAUGCUCUAUUGCUUCACUUGGAUGCUGGUUAUACAAGUGGGCUCAAUUUGUAAAAAAUUCACACACCUGAACACUGAAGACGUACUUCUCUGAAUGUGUGUUAUCCUUCAACAAAAAGUUACACCCACGCUGGCUCUCUGAGUCUGGGAGGUAGGACUGGUCAUCCCCUCAGGGCAGAAAACAAGGCUGAGGCUGGAGGAGAACCAACCCAGACCCGGCCAGGGCACGUGACCGCGACUCUCCACAUGGAAGCUGAAGAGGCCACCUUGCCCGUCCUGGUCCUGCGAUUCCUGGGACCAUCGGUGCCUGUGCUCCAGGGGCCACCGUGAUGGAGGAACGUCGGGGCGAUGCACUUAAGCACCGCAACCAUCUGGUUAGGCCGGGUCCAGUCUUCCCACUGGCCAUGUAAGAAAACAGACCCAGAGAAAUGAGUGACUCGACAUGUGCUUCUAUUUUUUUUUAAAGAUUUAUUUUAUUCAUUUCUCUCCCCUUCCUCCCCGCUUGUUGUCUGUUCUUUGUGUCCAUUCACUGUGUGUUCUGUGUCCGCUUGCACCCUCGGCCACCCCAGGAAACUGCAUCUCUUUUUUGUUGCGUCAUUUUGCUGCGCCGCUCUCCUUGUGUGCGGUGCCACUCCUGGGCGGGCUGUGCUUUUUUCAC
rnacentral:lncRNA from 1 species